AAUAAACACAGUUUUGCAUUAUUUAUCUCCAACGUUUGACCGUUUGUCUUAUUUAAAAAUUUUUUUGUAAUUAGUAUUUUUUGUUGUUAUUAGAUGAUAAAACACGAAUAGUACUUUAUGGGUGACUUUUUUUUAGUUUUUUUAUAAAUUUUUCAAAUAAGACGAACGGUUAAACGUUAGACACGGAUCUCCAUGACUGUACUUAUU
rfam:Oryza sativa Japonica Group DNA, chromosome 9, cultivar: Nipponbare, complete sequence.